GACGAACGCUGGCGGCGUGCUUAACACAUGCAAGUCGAGCGAAAAGGCCCGUCGGUUUUCUCUAUCGGCUAACGGGUGGGUAACACGGUAGUAACCUGCCCUAGUCUUUAUGAUAACCGCGUGAAACCGGGGCAAAUACCGGAUAUGACCUUGUUCCGCUUGACGGUAUGGUUAAAGAUUUUUCGGCCUUUGCUGGGCUCCAGGCCUAUCAGCUUGUUGGGGGUGUGAUGGCAUGCCAAGUCGCUGACUGGUAGCCGGCCUGAGAGGGCGACCGGCCACACUGGGCCUGAGACACGGCGCAGAAUGCUACGGGCGGCAGCAGUCGGGAAUAUUGCAGAAUGGGCCGACGUGUGUUGCAGAGACGCCGUGUGAGGGAUGAAGGCCUUCGGGUUGUAAACAUAUUUCAGCAGGGACGAGGAGUGAGUGACGGUACCUGAAGAAGAAGCGACGGCCAACUACGUG
rnacentral:rRNA from 1 species